AGUCUCAUGGCUCGUUUGCGACGAUGCCAUGGGCGAGGUCAUGGGAUUGCACGCAGGCUACACACGUAAAAACGCACAAGUUGUGACAAACCUGCAGCAGACUUGUAGCAAUGCUGUUCCAACAACUUGUCAACAGGAUGUGUUCGCACUGCUUGUUCCCAGCUUAUUGACAAGUUGUCAACGGCUUGUUAACAACUUGCUACCAGGUUGUUGAGUUCAGCAGAUUUGUUACAAGUUGUUCCAAUAUGGUUGUUACAAGUGUUAUAGUUGUUACAACAAUUAUAAGUUGUUAGUGACAAGCUUGUAGCAACUUGAUAAAAUAACAACAUUGUUACAACUUGUUGCCAAGCUUGCUACGAGCCUGUUGUGGACACAUCUUGUUGACAAGUUGUGAGAUUUUUAAGUGUGUAGACAUGAUAGCGUGUGUGGUUAGUGGGGUUCAAGAUCAAAGUGAAAUAUGAGGAGAUCCCAUCAAAGACUGUGGUGUGAAAGGGAAUCCUACUCUGGUAUUCAAGCAUAAUGAAGAUGAUGAAUCGGACAUGUGUACGUCACUGUUGCGAAUCUCCCAAAGUAUUUUUAAAACGAUCGCAGAUUCUGUGUCAAAAUAUUGUUACAUCACUGGUUAAUUGUUACACGUGUUAAAUCAAAGUUAUAUCACUGAAUACAGUUCAGUCAGACUUGUCUAAUACAGACAUACAGG